GAUGAACGCUGGCGGCGUGCCUAAUACAUGCAAGUCGAGCGAAUGAUGAGGAGCUUGCUCCUCUGAUUUAGCGGCGGACGGGUGAGUAACACGUGGGUAACCUGCCUGUAAGAUGGGGAUAACUCCGGGAAACCGGGGCUAAUACCGAAUAAUAAAAGAAGAAGCAUUUCUUCUUUUUGAAAGUUGGUUUCGGCUAACACUUACAGAUGGGCCCGCGGCGCAUUAGCUAGUUGGUGAGGUAACGGCUCACCAAGGCGACGAUGCGUAGCCGACCUGAGAGGGUGAUCGGCCACACUGGGACUGAGACACGGCCCAGACUCCUACGGGAGGCAGCAGUAGGGAAUCUUCGGCAAUGGGCGAAAGCCUGACCGAGCAACGCCGCGUGAGCGAGGAAGGCCUUCGGGUCGUAAAGCUCUGUUGUCAGGGAAGAACAAGUACGAGAGUAACUGCUCGUACCUUGACGGUACCUGACCAGAAAGCCACGGCUAACUACGUGCCAGCAGCCGCGGUAACAC
rnacentral:rRNA from 1 species